UUUCCCUGCCCAGUCGCCGCCCUCCGCUUGGCGGACGCAGGCGCGCCUCCCCGCCCGGUGCUGAGGGGGCUUCUUCUCCACCCCAGAGGGCGCGCUUGCCUCGCACAGGACGGCGCGCUGGCCGGGUAAAGAAUCCUCUCUUUCCCUUCAGAAGCGGAGACCGAAGGGAAAGAGGGCGAAAAAAUCACCGCGCGGCUCCCGCUCAAGGUCACUCCGGGCGGCCCCAACCCAGCGACGUCAACCCCCGACGCCGAAGGGAGGCGGCCCGGCUGUCGGCCAGCGGCGCAGCGCCUCACUCCGCGCCCCCCAGCGAAGAGAAGGCGGCGCUCCUCGAGCCGCUCUGCUUGGAGGCCUACUGAAGUGGUAAUGUCAUUCUGAUCUCCAUAGAAGAAAACUUGUUAUUCCUUGGUUUGAAGAGGGAUUUAAAAAUAAUAAUAAUGUAUCCAGUUCCUGGUUCCAUGCAUGAAGGAGAUAAUGGACAUCCUAGGAAACUUAUCUCUUUCCUUUUCGUUUUUGGCAUUACGUUGUUAUGUGCUGGAUUUCUGCUUUCGAUGUUUGUGUUGCAGACGUGCCCAAGUGGUGCCUUUGGUGACUGUAAAGGAGCCCUCAAAAUCAUUGGGCCUCUGCUUGCUGUUACUGGACUAGUUUGUAUAAUUCUGGCGCAAUCGAGAGCUAAAGGCUACCUCAGAGAGGUGCAAUUGCAAGAUGACCAGGUGUACGGGUUUGUUUUUUGUCGAGGAAACUGCCAGUUUGCUCAGUUCCUUGUCUUUGGUUUUUUAUUUUUAACUAGUGGGAUGCUAAUCAGCGUCCUUGGCAUUUGGAUUCCGGGAUGUAGCCCAGGUUGGCGCUACCAGCAGUUUAACCAUAGCAAUACUUCUAAUGUUGAACUCCAGGAUUGUGGAUUUCAUUCUGUUCAGACCAUGGGACCUUUGAUUGUGCUCAUUGGAUUGUGUUUCUUUGUGAUAGCUCACAUUAAAAAGAAACAAAACAUAAAUUUCGUCCAGGAGUCUUCUGUCAAUGAAGAAGAGCAGCUGGAUCCUGAAGCAUUUCAAGUUACAGUGGGUGAUACUGUAAUGGUAUUCCCACCACCGCCACCACCUUAUUUCGCUGACUGUCCACUGCAAACAAUAACUCCUAGCAUGGUAACAAGUGAUUUGCCUUUAAGUGAAAAUCCUCCACCGUACCACAGCACUUUUAUUAACUGAGCCUUUGCCCUAUCUUUUCUGAAUCAACCAGAAAUGAAUUCAAGAAGCCAUUGCAUCCCAUGGCAUGAUUGGAUGCCUCUUCUUACUUGACAAAUAAGAUCUUUCACAGAGCACAGAAUGCUGAUGCAUCAAACCUGGUUGCUUGAAGAGAGAAUGAGCUACUGUAUACAAUGUCAGGAUGUGAUUCACCUUCUGAGAACUUAAUCCACACUCUCUCAUCCCUCUGAGCCAUCUCAAAAUUAUAAGGGCAAACGAGCAGCUGUAAAUAAUGAAUGUGUUUUUUCUUCCUCUCCUUACAUCACCCAGAUGAUCCAUUGGCAUCCGCUUUGAACCAGCUGUAAGAAAUACUCAAGAGGGAAGGUGUAUAAAAGGGGAGAGAAAGAGGACUGUUAAAUUACAGGGUGAAAAUAGCCUGGAAGAGAGAUGGAGGAGCUUUGAGCCAGCAAGGAGAGCAGCAAGCUCCAUGGGCAAGAAAGUAGAAGGCCUGCCAAGCUAAGAUUUCUGUUACUGGAAAACGAAGCCAAGGCAAUCUACAGAGAAAUACUUGGGACACGAAGGACCCAGCACCUUAACACCUCUUCAUUUGGCACCUUGUAUGUAACUGGAAUACCCAAAGCAAUGUACGUCUCAAGUCAAGUCAGCUACCAUCUGAACAUAGUGCUGUGGCACACAUCUAGCAGAAGGAGGGGGAAAUCUGGUGGCUUUGUCUUUCUGUUUCCUUUUUCUUUUUUGGCUGUUGACAAACUCAAAAGUAAAGACACUGGAGACCUCAGAGCACCAAGUUUGUUGCGUGUGUGUUUGGGCUGACCCUCAUGUUAACAAAUUGUACAUGUGAGAUUUUCAGUUGAUUAAACAUUAUGGCACAAUGUA